rnacentral:rRNA from 1 species
GACGAACGCUGGCGGCGUGCUUAACACAUGCAAGUCGAACGAAGUGGCGAACGGGUGAGUAACGCGUAAUCAACCUGCCCUUCAGAGGGGGACAACAGUUGGAAAAGACGGCUAAUACCGCAUACUGAAGGAGGGGAUUGCGUCUGAUUGGCUAGUGGGCGGGGUAACGGCCCACCAAGGAGAUGAUCCGUAGCCGUUCUUGGAGGAUGGACGGCCACAUUGGGACUGGGACACGGGCCAGACUCCUACGGGAGGCAGCAGUUGGGAAUCUUCCGAAAUGGGCGAAAGUCUGACGGAGCAACGCCGCGUGAGUGAAGACGGCCUUCGGGUUUUAAAGCUCUUUUAAUCGGGACGCGGUACCGGAAUAGAAAGCCACGGCUAACUACGUGCCAGCAGCCGCGGUAAUUC